rnacentral:rRNA from 1 species
AGAGUUUGAUCCUGGCUCAGAGUGAACGCUGGCGGCGUGCUUAACACAUGCAAGUCGAACGGUAGCAGAAACUAGCUUGCUAGUUUGCUGACGAGUGGCGCACGGGUGAGUAAUAUAUAGUUAAUGUGCCCCAAAGACCGGGAUAGCCACUGGAAACGGUGAUUAAUACUGGAUACACCUUCAUAUCAAAAGGUAUGAAGGGAAAUGUUUUUUCGCUUUGGGAUCAGACUAUAUCCUAUCAGUUAGUUGGUGAGGUAACGGCUCACCAAGGCGAUGACGGGUAGCGGUUCUGAGAGGAUGAUCCGCCACACUGGUACUGAGACACGGACCAGACUCCUACGGGAGGCAGCAGUGAGGAAUAUUGCACAAUGGGGGGAACCCUGAUGCAGCAACGCCGCGUGGAGGAUGACGCAUUUCGGUGUGUAAACUCCUUUUAUAUGUCAAGAAA